rnacentral:rRNA from 1 species
UAAAUCAGUUAUCGUUUAUUUCAUAGUACCUUACUACUUGGAUAACCGUGGUAAUUCUAGAGCUAAUACAUGCUAAAAACCCCGACUUCGGGAGGGGUGUAUUUAUUAGAUAAAAAACCAAUGCCCUUCGGGGCUCUUUGGUGAUUCAUGAUAACUUAACGGAUCGCAUGGCCUUGCGCCGGCGACGGUUCAUUCAAAUUUCUGCCCUAUCAACUUUCGAUGGUAAGGUAUUGGCUUACCAUGGUUUCAACGGGUAACGGGGAAUUAGGGUUCGAUUCCGGAGAGGGAGCCUGAGAAACGGCUACCACAUCCAAGGAAGGCAGCAGGCGCGCAAAUUACCCAAUCCCGACUCGGGGAGGUAGUGACAAUAAAUACUGAUACAGGGCUCUUUUGGGUCUUGUAAUCGGAAUGAGUACAAUUUAAACCCCUUAACGAGGAACAAUUGGAGGGCAAGUCUGGUGCCAGCAGCCGCGGUAAUUCCAGCUCCAAUAGCGUAUAUUAAAGUUGUUGCAGUUAAAAAGCUCGUAGUUGAACCUUGGGCCUGGCUGGCCGGUCCGCCUCACCGCGUGUACUGGUCCGGCCGGGCCUUUCCUUCUGGAGAGCCGCAUGCCCUUCACUGGGUGUGUCGGGGAACCAGGACUUUUACUUUGAAAAAAUUAGAGUGUUCAAAGCAGGCCUUUGCUCGAAUACGUUAGCAUGGAAUAAUAGAAUAGGACGUGCGGUCCUAUUUUGUUGGUUUCUAGGACCGCCGUAAUGAUUAAUAGGGAUAGUCGGGGGCAUCAGUAUUCAAUUGUCAGAGGUGAAAUUCUUGGAUUUAUUGAAGACUAACUACUGCGAAAGCAUUUGCCAAGGAUGUUUUCAUUAAUCAGUGAACGAAAGUUAGGGGAUCGAAGACGAUCAGAUACCGUCGUAGUCUUAACCGUAAACUAUGCCGACUAGGGAUCGGGCGAUGUUUCUAUCUUGACUCGCUCGGCAC